GUUGAUUUUAAAGUGGGGAGCGGCGAAGGGAGAGUAACGAGUAGAUACGUACCCAGGGGUUCGGGAUAGCUGCGGGAAACUGCAGGUAAUACCGAAUAAUGUCUCCGGACCAAAAAUUUAUUGCCCCCGGAUCGGUCUGCUUACUAUUAGCUUGUUGGUGGGGUAAAGGCCUACCAAGGCAAAGAUGGUUAGCGGGUGUGAGAGCAUGGCCCGUCUCACUGGGACUGAGACACUGCCCAGACACCUACGGGUGGCUGCAGUCGAGAAUCUUCCGCAAUGGACGAAAGUCUGACGGAGCGACGCCGCGUGCGGGAUGAAGGCCUUCGGGUUGUAAACCGCUGUCAGAGGGGAGCAAAUUUUGAGCGAUCCUCAAAGGAAGCACAGGCUAAGUUCGUGCCAGCAGCCGCGGUAAUACGAACUGUGCAAACGUUAUUCGGAAUCACUGGGCUUAAAGGGUGCGUAGGCGGGUUUAAAGGUCUGAUGUGAAAGCCCACGGCUCAACCGUGGAAUUGCGUUGGAAACCAUGAACCUUGAGGGAGUCAGAGGUAAGCGGAACUGAUGGUGGAGCGGUGAAAUGCGUUGAUAUCAUCAGGAACACCGGUGGCGAAAGCGGCUCACUGGGACUCUUCUGACGCUGAGGCACGAAAGCUAGCGGAGCGAACGGGAUUAGAUACCCCGGUAGUCCUAGCUGUAAACGAUCAGUUCUAGUCUGUGGGGACUUCCACAUCCUCUAGGACGUAGCGAAAGUGUUAAGUACUGCGCCUGGGGAGUAUGGUCGCAAGGCUGAAACUCAAAGGAAUUGACGGGGGCUCACACAAGCGGUGGAGGAUGUGGCUUAAUUCGAGGAUACGCGAAGAACCUUACGUAGACUUAACAUGCUUGGGAAUUUCUGUGAAAGCAGAAAGUGCCUUUCGGGGAGCCCUUGCGUAGGUGCUGCAUGGCUGUCGUCAGCUCGUGUCGUGAGAUAUCGGGUUAAGUCC
rnacentral:rRNA from 1 species